rnacentral:rRNA from 1 species
ACGAACGCUGGCGGCACGCUUAACACAUGCAAGUCGAACGAGAGAAGAGAAGCUUGCUUUUCUGAUCUAGUGGCGGACGGGUGAGUAACACGUGAGCAAUCUGCCUUUCAGAGGGGGAUACCGAUUGGAAACGAUCGUUAAUACCGCAUAACAUAAUUGAACCGCAUGAUUUGAUUAUCAAAGAUUUAUCGCUGAAAGAUGAGCUCGCGUCUGAUUAGCUAGUUGGUAAGGUAACGGCUUACCAAGGCGACGAUCAGUAGCCGGACUGAGAGGUUGAUCGGCCACAUUGGGACUGAGACACGGCCCAGACUCCUACGGGAGGCAGCAGUGGGGAAUAUUGCACAAUGGAGGAAACUCUGAUGCAGCGAUGCCGCGUGAGGGAAGAAGGUUUUAGGAUUGUAAACCUCUGUCUUCAGGGACGAAAAAAGACGGUACCUGAGGAGGAAGCUCCGGCUAACUACGUGCCAGCAGCCGCGGUAAUACGUAGGGAGCGAGCGUUGUCCGGAAUUACUGGGUGUAAAGGGAGCGUAGGCGGGAUCGCAAGUCAGAUGUGAAAACUAUGGGCUUAACCCAUAAACUGCAUUUGAAACUGUGGUUCUUGAGUGAAGUAGAGGUAAGCGGAAUUCCUAGUGUAGCGGUGAAAUGCGUAGAUAUUAGGAGGAACACCAGUGGCGAAGGCGGCUUACUGGACGAUAACUGACGCUGAGGCUCGAAAGCGUGGGGAGCAAACAGGAUUAGAUACCCUGGUAGUCCACGCCGUAAACGAUGAUUACUAGGUGUGGGGGGACUGACCCCUUCCGUGCCGCAGCAAACGCAAUAAGUAAUCCACCUGGGGAGUACGACCGCAAGGUUGAAACUCAAAGGAAUUGACGGGGGCCCGCACAAGCAGUGGAGUAUGUGGUUUAAUUCGAAGCAACGCGAAGAACCUUACCAGGUCUUGACAUCGUAUGCAUAGCUCAGAGAUGAGUGAAAUCUCUUCGGAGACAUAUAGACAGGUGGUGCAUGGUUGUCGUCAGCUCGUGUCGUGAGAUGUUGGGUUAAGUCCCGCAACGAGCGCAACCCUUACUGUUAGUUGCUACGCAAGAGCACUCUAGCAGGACUGCCGUUGACAAAACGGAGGAAGGUGGGGAUGACGUCAAAUCAUCAUGCCCCUUAUGACCUGGGCCUCACACGUACUACAAUGGCUGUCAACAGAGGGAUGCAAAGCCGCGAGGUGGAGCGAACCCCUAAAAGCAGUCUUAGUUCGGAUUGUAGGCUGCAACCCGCCUACAUGAAGUCGGAAUUGCUAGUAAUCGCAGAUCAGCAUGCUGCGGUGAAUACGUUCCCGGGCCUUGUACACACCGCCCGUCACGCCAUGGGAGUCGGUAACACCCGAAGCCUGUAGUCUAACCGCAAGGAGGACGCAGUCGAAGGUGGGAUUGAUGACUGGGGUG